CCUACGGGACGCAGCAGUGGGGAAUAUUGCACAAUGGGGGGAACCCUGAUGCAGCAAUGCCGCGUGGGUGAAGAAGCACUCCGGUGCGUAAAGCCCUGUCAACAGGGAAGAAAAUGACAGUACCUGACCAAGAAGCCCCGGCUAACUACGUGCCAGCAGCCGCGGUAAUACGUAGGGGGCAAGCGUUAUCCGGAUUUACUGGGUGUAAAGGGAGCGUAGACGGAUAAGCAAGUCUGAUGUGAAAAUCCGGGGCCCAACCCCGGAAUUGCAUUGGAAACUGCAUAUCUAGAGUGUCGGAGAGGCAA
rnacentral:rRNA from 1 species